AGUACGUAUCAACUUUACUGCUAAAGCAAAUGUCAUGGACCCUGAUACAGGCAGUCACUGUCUUUUGAAAUUUUGCGCCAUCAGAAAUUGUGCCAGCAACUAACUUCUGCAGAAGUUGUGGUGAUGGCACAGCAUGGAUUGAAAAUUUUUGCCACAUGGGACAGUUAACCAUUCAGCAUGAAAAAAGAAACAAAAACCAAACAAGAUAAUAGGAGUCAUGUAAUUUUGCCUUCCCACGGUCCAUCUGUCUCUGCACCUGAUGUCAUUUGCCACCUAUAUGACAACACCAGCGUGGACUGACCUGACCCAAGGAAUUUGUUUAUCAAAUCACAGCAUGCUGCCACAGACUGAUGCAUUGACAUUACUGAUGGAGUGGCUUCUGGAAGCCUUCUGGGUGCUGAACUGUGACUACAGAGCAUCACCCCUGGAAAUUUUCAAAGCUGUAGAAGAGGAUCCCUGAACCACACAACUGAUUUCAAAGCUACCCCUGCUCUGAGCAGGGAGUUCACCCUAACUUCUUAAUACUGCUACAACCUCUGGCAUCCUAUUUCCAGGUGGAAUGAAUCACCUCCUCACCAGGGAAGUGGGAGAAGAGGAAGUGGGAUCAUCUGAGCGGAGCUUAAGUCAGUUUGCAGUGCCACGUUAAACAUUUCCAGAGGCAGCUGAAAGUGAAAGGGACAGGAGUGUUUGUCAGUGGACAGAGCGCUGGAGGGCUGUUUUGACUGGUGAUGUUGAGACUGGGAAAGGAAAUGAGUGCCAGAGAUGGUUUUCGACUUGCAAAGAGCACACUCUGAUUGAACAUGACCUGCCCUACCACAGUGAACUAGACUGCAUUGCAUCAGCUAUUGAAGAAGAAAAAGAAACCCUGUCACUGGAGUGUGAAACAGAAGAGCAUCACAGUGAAAUUAAAGUGUCAUCCUCCUGACUGAAUCAAAUGCUAACAGAAGAUUGACCAUGUCGAAUAUCCUUUUCUAUAACCUCUGACCUUUCUGGGUUGUCGUCUUGGAAAAGAGAGCUGGAAACAUCCACAUCUUCUGCAUAGCAAAUGUUUGGAGACAUAUACACUAUUAAAUGGUGAUAUCUGUACAGAAAGCUGUGAUUGUCUAUCAAAGAACUGCUACUGGCUGUGGAUUUCUUUCCUCUAAACACUGAGGAUUUUAAUCUGAAAACUUAUUACACUGAAACAAGUUGCCGAGGGAGACAGUUGAGGCCUCAUCCCAGGAGAUAUUCAAGAAGCCAGAAUGCUCAAUGGAAAUCAGAACAAUGUCAAGUUAACCUGAAAAACUUCCAGUUCUUUCUCAUCCUGAGAACAUAUGGUCACGUUUUGUUCGACUGGGUAAGAAUGGUCUAGUUGGGUACUUCUGAAGUGUGGGGGGCGGGUAACACCCAAACCACCUCACAGCACAUGGGGUUGGUCAUUCCAAGUUCUUCCAUUUAUGUUCAGCUCAAACACAGCUGCUUAAACCCCCCAAGAUCUACUUCUGUAUUUAUAUUACAUGUCAUGUAGGACUUACAUAUAGGACUAUAUGAAUUUUAUAUAGAGUACCAAGCAGAAUGGAAAAUGUACAGAUCCUGACAAAGCAGUGAUAAAACUUUUAAACAGAUAUAUAUUUUUAACUGAAAUGUAUAUGUAACAUGACAGCUUUGGGAAUGUCUGUGUCCUAUCUGAACUUUAGGUUUACUUACACCGUAAACACAAUGCAAAGGGCUGAGGAGCAGGACCUGAUGUCCUGAUAAUGAUUAUACAAACUAAAUGUUUCUUGUAAGGAGCAGUCUUAUACAGGAAUACUCAGUUUAGAACUCUCUAAAUGAGCAAAUAAUAUCUCAAAAUCUUGGGAAACAAUAAAAUUCAAAUUCUAACUUCACAGAAUAUUGAGAAAGAGCCACACGCUGACUUGCUUCUGGACAACAUAUUCUAACAAUUAGAGCGCAGCCUUUGCUGUUUUAACCAACUUUUAAUUCCUAUAAAAAGAGUACCUGUUUCUAAUGAGAGGUUGAACCUACUACCUUGUGGAACAUAUUGGCUUAAUUUGACCAGAGAUUAUUUUUAAAAGCUCUCCUAAAUAUUUCCAAGUGAGAAAUAUUACAAACUGAGGAGCUAAUUUUCCCUAACUUCUUCCUACAACUCUCUUAUCUUUUCCUAAGGUAGUGAGAGUCUGUUCUGACCAUAAUGAUCUCAGGUGACACAGUGCCAAAUCCUUUCCCACUGUAUCUGAGGUGACAUGACAGUACAUUACACAGUGAAGUAGAAGUUACCACCGUUGUGACCUGAUGAAACCUAAAAAGACUCUUUGUGCUUUUAUAUUAGAAUUUUUUUUAACUUCUAGUCUUUUCAGUAUAAGUAGAAUACUUUGAUCCAUCAUUUUCAUCUGUGGCUGUCCAGGGAAUAAUAGGAUGACAUAGUACUCUCCAUAACUGCAAUAGCCAAAGACACAGAAACAUGCUUUCUGGGUAUUUUGAUGCACGAGAUGUCUAUAACAGGAUUUACAUGCACUGUAAGUAGUACUUAUACUUUAAUUUUGGUCUAGAUUGAUUUUCUUUAGGAAAAGAGGUGACUAAAUUUAAAACCAUAAAGCUAAAACCAUGCACUUUAAUCUAAUGUGGACCUUUUUUAAAAUCAAGUCAUAGCACUUGAGAACUGAGCCCUUCAAACAUUAUCCACCUCAGUGAGCCUAUAGGCUUCAAUGGUGUCAUUUAAAUAGGUGACCAUUUGAAGGUGAGUGGUGCUUAAAGGACCAGGGCUCAGAUAGAUGCAAUAAAGUGGAGGCACACAGCAGUAAAGCCAUAAAUUAAUUUUGUCUCCCUAAUAUACACAGCUAUCAACCCCUUUUAUAUUAUCAGGAAAAUUCAGCUUUGUUUAUUAGUACAACUGAACCAAAAAACAAAUUUAGAAUCAUUUUUCCUGACCUCAUUCACGCUGAUUUCACACCAGUGUAAUUUCAUAUGCUUUAAUUGUGUAACUUCUGUUUUAGUUCAUUGUAGACACUCAGACCUAAACCCUUAUCAUCUCUCAAAACAAAUUGAUCAUUAUUUUCACAGCUUCCUGCAGCCAGAGCUUCUCAGAUUUUCUCAGCAUGUAUCACAUUUCUGUUUCUUAACAUAUAAAUGUAAAGCAGUUGGGGGUCUAGAUGAUUUGAUGGCCAGAUUUGCUUAGAGAAAGAUGAUUUUAUGUUUCUCUGCUCAUUGAUGGCAAUGACGAUUUAGCUUGUUAACUAUGUUUAGAAGGAUUUACCAGGCACCAUCACUAAGAAGACAAACAUAAAUUAAGGCCAAGACUCAAGCAAGAUAAUCAAAGUUUAAGGAAACAGAAUGAGUGUGAAAGAGAUCCAUUCUACAAUUAAAGAACUAUCUUCUUGCCUUUGUUUCAAGCUAAGCCUUCUCUAAAAGGAGCUUUUCAGUCUCCUAUUUCAAAGGUUGAGACUUGUCAUCCUAAAUUCCCUCUAAGUCACUGGACAAAGAUGAGCAAUUCGACAAGCAGGUCUGAAAUGCCUAGGCUGCCCUGACUGGUGAGACAGCUGAACUCUUCACUGGAACUGAUUAAAUAGACAAGUAUGUAAUUUGUCAUUCAGCACCUUCAGUCUUUUGCAGCCAACUGGCAUGCCUGUGGAUUGUAUCAAGCCAUUCGAACAAAUAUGGCUUUAUGGUUUAAAUGACUUUAGGUGGGGACUGCCAAGCAGAUAAACACAACAGAUUGUUUCUGGUUUUAGACCUGUCCCUGUCACCUUUCUGGUUUAUAUAUUUUCUUUUAAACAAUGAAGUAAUGCUACUUUUUUAGUGUAUUGGAUGUUAUUCAUCUUUGGUUAUCCAGAAUGACAAAUACUGCUUCCCUAUCUCUCCAUAAAGCUGUCUGUGUGGGUUUUGUAACAAAAUCAAAGAAGGUCCAGAGAAAAACGAUUUAGUCUCUACAGCUUUUGAAUCUUGGUCAGCCUUUGCCUGCAGAAGAUUAAGGGCCAUGCAUCUUGCUCUGAGUAACAAGGCAGAAGGGAAGGAAUCUAUCUCUUAGAAAUAGAAUGUGAUCUAAACUAUGGAUCAGCCUCAGACAAGAGCUUGAAUAGAGGUUUCAAGCUGCAGUUUAGUAGGAAUUUGAUAGAUUUCAAGUCAUUGGGUGAGCAAUUUGUUUUCCACCAGCCAAAACAGCAUUACUGCAUAGUGACUGAUGAUGCCAAGGGAAAACAAUGAACAGAGAAGUGAUGCAAAGAAGCUCUGCUGGCAUAAUAAGGAGAAAUGGCACUUCAUCAUCCUAUCAGGGCUGCUGCUCUGCGAGUCAUAAAUCACUGUCAUCUGCCUCACAGCCUGGGAUAAGCACAGCACAAUAAAUUCAUUAAAACAAA